AUACGCAAAAAAAUACGGUUAAUCUCUAGGACAGUGUUGUCAUUCUGGAAGUCCGCUCCUCAUAAGAAAAAAAAACAAUAAUAGUAAUGCUUUGCACAGAGGCACAAACAAGUGAGUGACUUUUAAAUUUACCACUUAAUCCACACAUUCCAUAAUUUAUUUACAUUUAUUAAUAAAAUAUUCUGUGUUUCUUUCUCAUGUUUUUCAUAGAAUUCUAAAGAAAAACUGUAGACUUGACUUUGAGGGAGGAGACAGACCUUAAAAAAGAGGAUGCUACAAGGAGUUCACGGCAAAUUUUCCAGAAGUAAUUCUUCCGUACGGCUAUACCGAUGUUGUUCUUCCAGUUGAGGAGCUUGAGUCUGGGCUGUCUGCUCAUCCACAAUGGGGGCAUGGUCUUCUGUUGAUGUUUGGUCAACGAUGACAGAUGACGAUGGUGAAAAGCAUGUUGCUUGAAUAUUUUCAACAGGACUUCCCUCUACACAAAGAACAGUUUGUUAUAACUUACGUGGAGGAGUAGUGGGCAUCUCUCCACUUCCGAAGGCUGCUACUGGUGGGAUCCGAAUCCGAGUUACUAACGCUGUUAAAUCUAGAAUAAAAUCAGCACAAGCCAAGGUACUUACCAGAACUAGGCUGAGGCGUGCUUGGGGCUGAUCGCCCUGCAGAUUUUUUUCGGUGAUCUGGAAAACAUCAAGGA